rnacentral:rRNA from 1 species
AUUGAACGCUGGCGGCGUGCUUUACACAUGCAAGUCGGACGAGUGGCGAACGGGUGGGUAACGCAUCGGCACGUAGCUAACCAUGGGGGAUAACUGUCCGAACGGACAGCUAAUACCGCAUAUUAUUCUAGCGGCCGAUGUCUGAGUAGCUGGCUGGCGGGGAAAAGGCCCACCAAGGCGACGAUCAGUAGCGGGUCUGAGAGGAUGAUCCGCCACACUGGGACUGAGACACGGCCCAGACUCCUACGGGAGGCAGCAGUAGGGAAUUUUGGACAAUGGGCGCAAGCCUGAUCCAGCCAUGCCGCGUGUCUGAAGAAGGCUUUCGGGUUGUAAAGCACUUUUGUCAGGGAAGCGGUACCUAAAGAAUAAGCACCGGCUAACUACGUGCCAGCAGCCGCGGUAAUUC